rnacentral:rRNA from 1 species
ACAAGUACCGUGAGGGAAAGAUGCAAAGAACUUUGAAAAGAGAGUUAAAGAGUACCUGAAAUUGCUGAAAGGGAAGCGAAGGAAACCAGUGCCUGCUGAGUCAUAUUUCCUACUUCGCUUGCGGAGUGGGCGCUGUGUCUCGGCCCCUGUCAGGCUUGGUUGGGUUGGCCAGAACCGCGUGGUGAGAGUUGAUCACUGCAAGACCGUGGCCGUCCUGACUGAGGCUGACGAAAUGGUUUUCUUUACCCCGUCUUGAAACACGGACCAAGGAGUCUAACAUAUGUGCGAGUAUAGGGGUGACAAACCUCCGUGCGCAAUGAAAGUAACAGUGGUUGGACCUUCGGGGCACAAUCCGCCGGCCUCAAUCCCUCGGGAGAAUGGUCUGAGUGUGAGCAUAUAUGUUGGGACCCGAAAGAUGUGUGAACUAUGCCUGAAUAGGGUGAAGCCAGGGGAAACUCUGGUGGAAGCUCGUAGCGAUUCUGACGUGCAAAUCGAUCGUCAAAUUUGGGUAUAGGGGCGAAA